GAUGAACGCUGGCGGCGUGCCUAAUACAUGCAAGUCGAGCGAACAGAUGAGGAGCUUGCUCCUCUGACGUUAGCGGCGGACGGGUGAGUAACACGUGGAUAACCUACCUAUAAGACUGGGAUAACUUCGGGAAACCGGAGCUAAUACCGGAUAAUAUAUUGAACCGCAUGGUUCAAUAGUGAAAGACGAUUUUGCUGUCACUUAUAGAUGGAUCCGCGCCGCAUUAGCUAGUUGGUAAGGUAACGGCUUACCAAGGCAACGAUGCGUAGCCGACCUGAGAGGGUGAUCGGCCACACUGGAACUGAGACACGGUCGAGACUCCUACGGGAGGCAGCAGUAGGGAAUCUUCCGCAAUGGGCGAAAGCCUGACGGAGCAACGCCGCGUGAGUGAUGAAGGUCUUCGGAUCGUAAAACUCUGUUAUUAGGGAAGAACAAAUGUGUAAGUAACUAUGCACGUCUUGACGGUACCUAAUCAGAAAGCCACGGCUAACUACGUG
rnacentral:rRNA from 1 species